GAUGAACGCUGGCGGCGUGUCUAAUACACGCUAGUCGAGCGAAGCGGGGACGGGAGAGUAACACGUGGAUAAACUCCUAUACGACUGGGUUAACGUCGGGCCACCGGAGCUAAACCGGAUACUUAGAGAUGGAUCCGCGCUGCAAUAGCUAGUUGGUAAGGUAACGGUUUACCAAGGCAACGAUGCAUACCCGACCUGAGAGGGUGAUCGGCCACACUGUAACUUAGCCACGGUCCAGACUCCUACGAGCAGCCACAGUAAGGAAUCUUCCGCAAUCGGCAAAAUCCUAACGGAGCAACGCCGCGUGAGUGAUGUAUGUCUUCGGAUCAUAGAACUCUAUUAUUAGGGGAGCGGUACCUAGUCAGAGGACCACGGCUAACUACGUGCCAGCAGCCGCGGUAAGAC
rnacentral:rRNA from 1 species